GACGAACGCUGGCGGCGUGCCUAAUACAUGCAAGUCGAACGCAGUGGGGACGGGUGAGUAACACGUGGGUAACCUCCCAUCAGAGGGGAUAACACUUGGAAACAGGUGCUAAACCGAUACUGAUGGAUGGACCCGCGGUGCAUUAGCUAGUUGGUGAGGUAACGGCUCACCAAGGCUACGAUGCAUAGCGGACCGGAUAGGGUGAUCACCCAAACUGGUACUGAGACACGGCCCAGACUCCGACGGGAGGCAGCAGUGGGUAAGAUUGGGCAAUGGACGAAAGUCUGACCGAGCAACGCAGCGUGAGUGAAGAAGGUUUUCGGUGCGUAAAACUCUGUUGUUAGAGAAGCGGUAUCUAACCAGAAAGCCACGGCUAACUACGUGCCAGUAGCCGCGGGAAUAC
rnacentral:rRNA from 1 species